ensembl:snoRNA SNORA73 Small nucleolar RNA SNORA73 family
CUAAUGUGGAUACUCCCAGGAGGUCACUCUCCCUGGGCUCUGUCCAGGUGGUGAACAGAAGCUUAGGGCUCUGCCCCAUGACAUACAGUCCCUUUCCACAAUGUUGGAGAUGAAGCCAGGCCUUGAGUCUGUGCCUGCAUAUUCCUACAGCUUCUCAGAGUCCUGUGGACAAUGACUGAGGAGACAAACCAUGCAGGAAACAGCU